UCCCCGCCCGCCCCCCCGCCCUAACCCCAGCGCGACUGCAGCUCCGGCAAAGACAACUGUGGGGCCGGGCGGCGGCAAGGCGACGGAAUGUGCUGCCGGCUGAGAGGGGGAGGCAGCCUCGAUCUGAGGGCCCCGGCGCUGCGGCCACGCCCAUCGCCUCCAGCCCGGCUCGCCCAUUGGCUAACCAGGCUCCGAGAGAUCUGAGCUUCGCUGUCUCCCGGUCGGACGCUCGCAGCUGCGUUCCCGGGCUGGGGCUCCGUGCCGUCCAGGGCCGGGUCUGGGGGCCAGGACCUGCUGGGAUGACGUGAGUUGAGGAGGCUCAGCGGAAAGCGACAGGAAAGUAAGCUCUCUGAAGUCAAGAACCAUAGUUGUUUUGUUCACUACUGUAUACUCAGCACCUAAUAGUACUUGGCACAUAAGUACUCAGGGACUAUUUGUCAAAUGCAAGAACAUAUGCCCCUAAAGCAGAAGUCAGGAAAACCAGAAAAAAUGCCUUUAAGUAUUACAGAAAUGCCACAGGCCUCCACUUAAAUUGAAAAGCAAGCUAACCCCUCUUGAUAAAAAUGUGGAUUGAGAUCAAGAAGCAGCUUCUCUGCUCCUUCUGGAAUCUCCACCUGGUUUAGCCUGCUGCCUCCACUCCUGCCUCCACCAUGUCCAUCAGGGUGAUCCAGAAGUCCUACAAGGUGUCCACCUUUGGCCCCCAGGCUUUCAGCAGCCACCCCUACACUAGUGGGCCCAGUGCCUGCACCAGCUCCUUGAGCUUCUCCCUAGUGGGGAGCUUCACUGUGCAGCUUCUGGGGUGGCCUGGGCGGAGGCUAUGGUGGGGCCAGCAGUAUGCGAGGCAUCACCACCAUCACGGUAAACCAGAGCCUGCUGAGCCCCCUUAACCUGGAGGUGGACUCCAACAUCCAGGCUGUAUACACCCAGGAGAAGGAGCAGAUCAAGACCCUCAACAACAAGUUUGCCUCCUUCACAGACCAGGUAUGGUUCCUGGAGCA
rnacentral:lncRNA from 1 species